rnacentral:lncRNA from 1 species
CUUUGUAAUUUGAAGCAACAAACCUGGGUUCAGACACUCCACUGCCUGUGCAUCUUGCCUGUUUCCGGAUCCGCCGUGUCACAGACAUUUUCUAUGUCAGUGCCUAUGGCUCUACUCAGCAGGGUGAUGCAGCUGAUCUGGUCUGAUUCCCAAGCUGGAGGUAAUGGCGUGUGUCCUGUCCUAGUGCUGCUCCCUGAUGGGGAGCAUGCUCAGUUUCCUGCAUUCAGGUACGAGCAGAGACUUGGCAGGAUCCGCCCCGUUCAGAGUUGCAGGAAGAGCCCUGGAUGCCUGUCCCAAAUUGGAAUAAGUGGGAGGGAGCCACAGGCUGGUACACUUGACACACUGUUAUUGUCCAGUCUCUACACAUGCUGUCCUUCUCUCCCACAAACGUGCCUGAUAACCAAAUGAGUGGAUUUCAGCAGUCCCCCUUUGUCUGAAACCUUUGUGAUCAGAGGGAAUAAACAUCUUAGAGGCAUGAAGCCUUGCUCAGAUAAGGAGAAGAUAGAGAACCAAAGUGCCAUAAUGUACCAAGUAAAAAGCAUCAGAUGUGCCAGAAAAUAAGCAGUAGGAAUUAACUUUGAGGGUUAUCACAGGACCACUAUGUAGAGUAAGCACAAGCAGCUCAGCUGUGGACGAGCUUUGCUGUAGAUUUUGCUGCAAACCUCUGCAGGCCUGAGAGCUUGCUGUGGGUCCAGAGAGCAGCACAUGUACUUGGCUGUGACGUCACUGGAUGUGUCCUGAUCUACUCCUUCUCCUUCUCAUACAUGAGGUUAUCUGAGGUCUCAGCCAAGAGACAAAUCAGCACUUUACCCAAGGACAGCACCAAAGCUCGCCAUCUUGGCCGCUGCCCCAGAACCUUGGAAACUUUUGCAGUGAAAUGGAUUCUGAUUAUUUUUAUUACCUUUGUU